GGUGGCUCAGUGGUAGAGUGUUUGCCUUGCAUGCAUGAGACCCUGGGUUCAAUUCCUCAGCACCA
rfam:Dipodomys ordii contig_48709, whole genome shotgun sequence.